UCAGACGAUGCGUCAUGCAUAUCAAUAAGCGGAGGAAAAGAAACUAACAAGGAUUCCCCUAGUAACGGCGAGUGAAGCGGGAAGAGCUCAAAUUUGAAAUCUUAAAGGGUUUCCCUUUACGAAUUGUAGUUUAAAGAAGUGUUUUCUGUUGAGGUUUUGGUAAAAGUUCUUUGGAAUAGGACAUCAUAGAGGGGUGAGAAUCCCGUAUUUGACCUUUACUUUCAACUUUGUGAUACACUUUCAAAGAGUCGGAUUGUUUGGGAAUGCAGUCCAAAAUGGGUGGUAAAUUUCAUCUAAAGCUAAAUAUUGGCGAGAGACCGAUAGCGAACUAGUACCGUGAGGGAAAGAUGAAAAGAACUUUGAAAAGAGAGUUAAACAGUACGUGAAAUUGUCAAAAGGGAAGCGUUUGACACCAGUGUUGUUUUUCUGAAAAUCAAUUAAAGAACUGUUUAUGCUAAGUUGUUUAGACUUUAUCAGCUAUCUGUUUAGUUUUGAGCUUUUCUUUAAUGCACUUUUCAGUUAACAAGUCAACAUCAAUUUCUUUUGCUGUAAAAAAGCUUGAGGAAGGUGGCUUGAGAUUCGUCUUAAGUGUUUAUAGCCUCUUGCCUAUGCAGUCGGAGAGAUUGAGGUCUGCAGCGUAGAUCCUUCGGGGCUAAAUGCAUUUGUGCUAAGUUAUAGCAUUUUAUAGACAACUUGUUGACUAUGAUUUGUCUUGUAGCUUACUCGCUUAUGUUAUUUUACCUACGCUUAGGAUGUUGACACACGCGCGUGCUCG
rnacentral:rRNA from 1 species